rnacentral:rRNA from 1 species
UACGUAGGGGGCAAGCGUUGUCCGGAAUUAUUGGGCGUAAAGGGCUCGUAGGCGGUUUGUCGCGUCGGGAGUGAAAUCCACUGGCUUAACUGGUGGCUUGCUUUCGAUACGGGCAGACUGGAGGUAUGCAGGGGAGAGCGGAAUUCCUGGUGUAGCGGUGAAAUGCGCAGAUAUCAGGAGGAACACCGGUGGCGAAGGCGGUUCUCUGGGCAUGUCCUGACGCUGAGGAGCGAAAGUGUGGGGAGCGAACAGG